rnacentral:rRNA from 1 species
AGAACGAACGCUGGCGGCAUGCCUAAUACAUGCAAGUCGAACGAACUCCUUCGGAGUUAGUGGCGCACGGGUGCGUAACGCGUGGGAAUCUGCCCCUUGGUUCGGAAUAACAGUUGGAACGACUGCUAAGUACCGGAUGAUGACGAAAGUCCAAAGAUUUAUCGCCAAGGGGAUGAGCCCGCGUAGGAUUAGCUAGUUGGUAGAGGUAAAGCUCACCAAGGCAACGAUCCUUAGCUGGUACUGAGAGGAUGAUCAGCCACACUGGGACUGAGACACGGCCCAGACUCCUACGGGAGCAGCAGUAGGGAAUACGUGGACAAGUGGGACGAAAGCCUAGGAUCCGAGGACAAGUGCCGGCGUAGAGUGA